rnacentral:rRNA from 1 species
AUUGAACGCUGGCGGCAGGCUUAACACAUGCAAGUAGAACGAGUGGCGGACGGGUGAGUAAUGCUUGGGAAUCUAGCUUAUGGAGGGGGAUAACUACGGGAAACUGUAGCUAAUACCGCGUACCAUAGGAUGAGCCCAAGGGGGAUUAGGUAGUUGGUGAGGUAAAGGCUCACCAAGCCGACGCCCUCUAGCUGGUCUGAGAGGAUGACCAUGCACACUGGGACUGAGACACGUCCCAGACUCCUACGUGGGGCAGCAGGGGGGAAUAUUGCGCAAUGGGGGCAACAUGACGGAGCCAUGCCGCGUGAAUGAAGAAGGCCUUCGGGUUGUAAAGUUCUUUCGGUAGCGAGGCGUUAUCAACAGAAGAAGCACCGGCUAACUCCGUGCCAGCCGCCGCGGUAUUG